UGUCUCUUUGUCUGGCUUCUUUAGAGCGGGUGACUGAUUGUCCCUGCCAGCUGGCUAAUAUCAUAAUUAGCAAAGUUGCUACCACAUCUGCAAAGUUUAAUCGAAAAAUUUACCAGUGGUAUGAUGGCAUUGUCACCGCGAUCCUGAGGGAAUCAGAGUCGACUUCUGCUUCAACUGGAAUGGCAAGGCUGUAGAGCUGAGAUGAGAAACUGUAAACUUGCUCAGCCAAAGGAAAUAAUAUGCUCCAGAGAAUCCUCUAAUUCACCGAAAAUGGACUUGGAUAACAUUUGGGUUCUCAUACUACCACAGUCCUCUUGAGAAGGACAGCCAGGAGGCUAAUAAUGAAGGGGCCAGGGAAGGAGGCCAAUGCUACAGGGUUAUCUCCUAACCUCAGAUGUUGGAUAAGUCCAUGGAAACAGCAGCGCUUCUGGAUGGCUUCAGAAAGGCUGGAGUGAUUGUUUGGACGAGAAAAACCCGCCUAUUCAUUCAAAGGUACAUGAAUGUUGUCGACACUGUCCCAUCUAAAGGUUCAUCCUUAGAAUUCUGCCUUAGACAAAGGAAGUGCUUGGAGCCCCACCACACCUAAAACCAUGCUUUGAAGGAUCUGCCAAGCUCACUUUUAAUCAUGAGAAAGAAAUUACCCACAUGGAGACAGCAGAAAAUGAGAAAGUAGAGAUCGUGCUGCGAAUAAUUCCAGCGAGUGCCAAGGGGCUAGUUGAGGAAUGGCUUCAUGAGAUGUUAGUCUAUCUAGAACAACAGAUUUGGAUCUAAGCUGGACCUUUGAGAAAGAAAAGACUUCGAGGAAAAACACCUUUCCAUAUGUUUUAUUACCUUUCACCUGAAUUGUUUAAUGCACACUAUCCAACUAUAUUCAUCUUUCUUGCUUCAUGUGUAUUUCUUCUUUUGCUUGAACUGCUUUAGAAUUGACUUUUGAGCUACACAGUCAUUCUGGAUUUUUAAAAAGAGAAUUCUAAUAAAAACUUAUAUAUGUUGUUAA
rnacentral:lncRNA from 1 species